rnacentral:rRNA from 1 species
UUGGAGGGCAAGUCUGGUGCCAGCAGCCGCGGUAAUUCCAGCUCCAAUAGCGUAUAUUAAAGUUGUUGCAGUUAAAAAGCUCGUAGUUGAAUUUCGGGAUCAAUGCUUCGGUCAUGCCGUUGGUAUGUACUGAUAUUAUUGGUUUCUCACCUUCUAAAGAACCGUAAUGCCAUUAAUUUGGUGUCACGGGGAAUUAGGACUGUUACCUUGAAAAAAUUAGAGUGUUUAAAGCAGGCUCACGCUUGAAUACAUUAGCAUGGAAUAAUGAAAUAGGACAUCCGAUUCUAUUUUGUUGGUUUCUAGGAUCGAUGUAAUGAUUAAUAGGGAUAGUUGGGGGCAUUAGUAUUCAAUUGUCAGAGGUGAAAUUCUUGGAUUUAUUGAAGACUAACUACUGCGAAAGCAUUUGCCAAGGAUGUUUUCAUUAAUCAAGAACGAAAGUUAGGGGAUCGAAGACGAUCAGAUACCGUCGUAGUCUUAACCAUAAACUAUGCCGACUAGGAAUCAGACGAUGUUAAUUUUUUAAUGACUCGUUUGGCACCUUACGGGAAACCAAAGUGUUUGGGUUC